GACAGAGGUCCCGAGCGUUAGGCGGAAUCACUGGGCUUAAAGCGUGUGUAGGCGGAUCGUUAAGUGCCUUGUGAAAUCCCAUGGCUUAACCAUGGAACUGCUUGGCAUACUGGCGGUCUUGAGCCACUUAGGGGCAACCGGAACAAAUGGUGGAGCGGUGAAAUGCGUAGAUAUCAUUUGGAACGCCAACGGCGAAGGCAGCUCGCUGGGACGGAACUGACGCUAAGGCGCGAAAGCGUGGGGAGCAAACAGG
rnacentral:rRNA from 1 species